UACGUAGGGUGCGAGCGUUAAUCGGAAUUACUGGGCGUAAAGUGUGCGCAGGCGGCCGCGCAAGUCGAGUGUGAAAGCCCCGGGCUUAACUUGGGAAUUGCGCUCGAAACUACGUGGCUGGAGUGUGGCAGAGGAAGGUGGAAUUCCACGUGUAGCGGUGAAAUGCGUAGAGAUGUGGAGGAACACCGAUGGCGAAGGCAGCCUUCUGGGCCAACACUGACGCUCAUGCACGAAAGCGUGGGGAGCAAACAGG
rnacentral:rRNA from 1 species